AAUAUUGGACAAUGGGCGAAAGCCUGAUCCAGCCAUGACGCGUGUGUGAAGAAGGUCCUCGGAUUGUAAAGCACUUUAAGUUGGGAGGAAGGGCAGUAAGAUAAUACCUUGCUGCUUUGCCGUUCCCGGCUGCAUAAGCACUGUCUAACUCCGUUACAGCAGCCGCGUUAAGACGAAGGGUGAAAGCGUUAAUCGGAAUUACUGGGCUUAAAGCGCGCGUAGGUGGUUUGUUAAGUUGGAAGUGAAAGCCCCGGGCUCAACCUGGGAACUGCUUUCAAAACUGGCAAGCUAGAGUAUGGCAGAGGGUGGUGGAAUUUCCUGUGUAGCGGUGAAAUGCGUAGAUAUAGGAAGGAACACCAGUGGCGAAGGCGACCACCUGGGCUAAUACUGACACUGAGGUGCGAAAGCGUGGGGAGCAAACA
rnacentral:rRNA from 1 species